CUCCAGUUGAUCGCAUGGUCUUCUGGGAAAGCUUUCGCGGUAUGGGAUGGGGUCGCGUCCUAUCAGCUUGACGGCGGGGUAACGGCCCACCGUGGCUUCGACGGGUAGCCGGCCUGAGAGGGCGACCGGCCACAUUGGGACUGAGAUACGGCCCAGACUCCUACGGGAGGCAGCAGUGGGGAAUAUUGCACAAUGGGCGCAAGCCUGAUGCAGCGACGCCGCGUGAGGGAUGGAGGCCUUCGGGUUGUAAACCUCUUUUAUCGGGGAGCAAGCGAGAGUGAGUUUACCCGUUGAAUAAGCACCGGCUAACAACGCGCCAGCAGCCGCGGUAAUACGUAGGGUGCAAGCGUUAUCCGGAAUUAUUGGGCGUAAAGGGCUCGUAGGCGGUUCGUCGCGUCCGGUGUGAAAGUCCAUCGCUUAACGGUGGAUCCGCGCCGGGUACGGGCGGG
rnacentral:rRNA from 1 species